rnacentral:snRNA from 1 species
GCCUCCAAGGCCAGACAUGCGAUAAAGUUGGAAUAAUACAGAAGAUUAGCAUGAUUCCUGCACAAAGAUGAUAUUUACAAAAAUAAAAUACUAGCGCGCUAGU